rnacentral:lncRNA from 1 species
CUGCUUGCGGCCCUGUGUCCUCAUGGCCGUGUGACCACGGUGCGAUAAGCAGCUUUUUGCUGACUGGCCAAGGAGCAACCUGCUUGAUUAGUAGUCGACCAACUGCUCAGUUUCUGGGUUUUGCAAACAGUGCUAGUUUUGUAGAAAGCAGUGAGUACUGCUUUAUUUUCCCUCCGCUACUAGCUCUGGAUCAUCAGCUUCAAGCUUGCAUUUUUAGAGGUUUUUCUGAUGGCUGGUGAAAUUGUACUGAAUUCAUUAGUACUGUUAACUGUCAAAGGAACAGAACAGUCACUUUGAUUUAUUGCUGAAGAUUGAAACAACUGACCAGAUACAGUGGUCAAAAACACUUAAAAUACAGCUUGAGAGGUUCAGUCAUCCUCAGGCAGCCAGGCUCCUCCUGUCAGCACACGGGGCUGUAAGAGGCGCUGCAGUAACUCGAUCUGAUGUGGUCCCUGGCUUCUCAAGAUGUGGACAAGCAUGUAGUCAUCUCAGGUCGGCAGCCGGUGACUCCUCGGCCGUGCUCGACACUGCGCUGUCUGCUGUAGGAUGAACAGAAAGGCCACACACGUUACAUGGGAAGCUAAUUUAACAGGACAUGCAGAGAAGGUGGGGAUUGAGAAUUUUGAGCUCCUGAAGGUCUUAGGAACUGGAGCUUACGGAAAGGUGUUUCUCGUGCGUAAAGUCAGUGGCCACGACGCUGGGAAGCUGUACGCCAUGAAGGUUCUGAGGAAGGCCUCCAUAGUGCAGAAGGCCAAGAGCGCGGAGCACACGCGGACGGAGCGGCAGGUGCUGGAGCACGUCCGGCAGUCGCCCUUCCUGGUGACGCUGCACUACGCCUUCCAGACGGAGGCCAAGCUCCACCUCAUCCUGGAUUAUAUAAAUGGUGGAGAGCUUUUUACUCAUCUUUCUCAGAGAGAGCGCUUCACAGAGCGCGAGGUGCAGAUCUAUGCUGGAGAGAUCGUGCUUGCCCUCGGACACCUCCACAAGUUGGGGAUUAUAUACCGUGACAUUAAGCUUGAGAAUAUUCUGCUUGAUUCUGAUGGCCACGUGAUGCUGACGGAUUUUGGUCUGAGUAAGGAGUUUGUGGCUGACGAAGCUGAAAGAGCAUAUUCCUUUUGUGGAACCAUUGAAUACAUGGCGCCAGAUAUUGUCAGAGGGGGAGACUCAGGACAUGACAAGGCAGUUGACUGGUGGAGUUUAGGUGUUCUAAUGUAUGAAUUACUAACUGGAGCAUCUCCGUUCACUGUUGAUGGCGAGAAGAACUCCCAAGCUGAGAUAUCGAGGAGAAUAUUAAAGAGCGAGCCUCCAUAUCCCCAGGAAAUGAGUGCUGUGGCCAAAGACCUGAUCCAGCGUCUCCUGAUGAAAGAUCCCAAGAAAAGACUGGGCUGGGGCCCGCGCGACGCAGAUGAGAUCAGAGAGCACCCCUUCUUCCAGAAAAUAAACUGGGAUGAUUUAGCUGCCAAGAAAGUGCCCGCACCUUUUAAGCCAGUCGUCCGAGAUGAAUUAGAUGUGAGCAACUUUGCAGAAGAAUUCACGGAAAUGGACCCCACCUACUCUCCUGCAGCUGUGCCCCAGAGCUCCGAGAGGCUGUUCCAGGGCUAUUCCUUCGUCGCCCCUUCCAUCCUCUUCAACGCAGUGGAGAUCGUGAAGAAAAUUAAAAAGGGAGACUUCUCCUUCGAAGGAGAAGCCUGGAAGAACGUAUCCCAAGAGGCUAAAGACUUGAUCCAAGGACUUCUCACAGUCGAUCCAAACAAAAGGCUUAAAAUGCCUGACUUGAGAUACAGUGAAUGGCUUCAAGAUGGCAGUCAGCUGUCCUCGAAUCCUCUGAUGACUCCGGACAUUCUGGGCUCUUCAGGAGCUGCGGUGCACACGUGUGUGAAAGCCACCUUCCACGUGAGGCUCUGGCUCUGCGCUCCUGGGUGGUCUGAGAGGGACUGGAUGCCAUUGCUCUGUAAUCUCGGAGGCUCACACUCAGGCAGACAGGCUUUAAACGAGUUAUUUUAA